CAUGCCCCAGAACAGUAGCCAAUGCCAGCCCGGGAUUGGUUAACCAGGAAUAAAUCCAUCAACAGUACAAAGCCUGGCAACUAUCUCUCUGAGUUCAUAAUUCUCUUGCUCAGGAUGAUCCAUCAAUCUGGCAGAGAUGGCUCUGGUAUAGUACCGGCAAAGUGCGUCUUCAAAAUAAAUGAAGAUCGCAGGGUCAGACCACAGGACGGGAGACCGGAACAGAACCUGCUGAUGCAAAUGAUGCAUGAAGUGUUUAUGCAUAUGCUUGUUUUUAUUUCAAA
rnacentral:lncRNA from 1 species